GGGGGUAUAGCUCAGCUGGGAGAGCAGCAGACUGAAGUGAAUUUAUGUUCUGAAGGUCCCGCGUUCGAUCCGCGGUACCCCCA